rnacentral:misc_RNA from 1 species
CUCCGUGCCCGUCCACCGAACGGUCGGCAGGCGAUCCGGGUGGUUCUCGCUGGGUGGUAUGGUUCCCCAGAGGUCGGUUCUUGUGCUGCCUACCCCUUCAGGGGAAGCGGGCCGCUUGAUGCAAGCCUCCAUCCGGCGCCCUCCAACGGGCGCCGGAGGACAGCGUAGCACCCCCCGCGUUCCACCGAGCCCCAGUCGGUCGCGUGGCGCGCGGGGACGUGCGAUGCUCUCGGACCCAGCGAACGCCGUGGGCGAGGACUCACGUCCCAGUCCCGAUAGAAAGCUCCCACGUAGUGCAUGACGGCCGCUCCCGUCCCCCGACCGCCCCGGCGGCGCGCGGGCGAGGAGCGG